CACACACACACCCAUCAUCCAGCACACACACACCCAUCAUCCAGCACUCACACACACACACAUCAUCCAGCACUCACACACACAUCAUCCAGCACUCACACACACAUCAUCCAGCACUCACACAAACACCCAUCAUCCCGCACACACACCCAUCAUCCAGCACACACACACACAUCAUCCAGCACACACACACACAUCAUCCAUCACUCACACACCCAUCAUCCAGCACACACACACAAAUCAUCCAUCACUCACACACCCAUCAUCCAGCACUCACACACCCAUCAUCCAGCACACACACACACAUCAUCCAGCACCCACACACCCAUCAUCCAGCACUCACACACCCAU